rnacentral:rRNA from 1 species
GACGAACGCUGGCGGCGUGCCUAAUACAUGCAAGUAGAACGCUGAAGGAGGAGCUUGCUUCUCUGGAUGAGUUGCGAACGGGUGAGUAACGCGUAGGUAACCUGCCUGGUAGCGGGGGAUAACUAUUGGAAACGAUAGCUAAUACCGCAUAAGAGUAGAUGUUGCAUGACAUUUGCUUAAAAGGUGCAAUUGCAUCACUACCAGAUGGACCUGCGUUGUAUUAGCUAGUUGGUGGGGUAACGGCUCACCAAGGCGACGAUACAUAGCCGACCUGAGAGGGUGAUCGGCCACACUGGGACUGAGACACGGCCCAGACUCCUACGGGAGGCAUCAGUAGGGAAUCUUCGGCAAUGGACGGAAGUCUGACCGAGCAACGCCGCGUGAGUGAAGAAGGUUUUCGGAUCGUAAAGCUCUGUUGUAAGAGAAGAACGAGUGUGAGAGUGGAAAGUUCACACUGUGACGGUAUCUUACCAGAAAGGGACGGCUAACUACGUG